GAUUUCUGGCUUGUAACAACUUAUCGGCCACGGUUUCGUGUGUUAGUGCUUGAUGUUCUGGCCAUCCUUCCAAUCGCCAUCGGCUUAUCUUCAUUGAUCGGUCGGUGGUAUUGGAUCUUUUACUUUGAAAAAAUUAGAGUGUUUCAAGCAGGCUUUAUGCUAUGAAUACAUUAGCAUGGAAUAAUAAUUUAGGACUUCGGUUCUAUUUUGUUGGUUUCUAGGACUGAAGUAAUGAUUGAUAGGGAUAGUUGGGGGUGCUAGUAUUCAGCGGCCAGAGGUGAAAUUCUCGGAUUCGCUGAAGACUAACUUAUGCGAAAGCAUU
rnacentral:rRNA from 1 species